rnacentral:rRNA from 1 species
GAAGUAAAAGUCGUAACAAGGUCUCCGUAGGUGAACCUGCGGAGGGAUCAUUACACAAAUAUGAAGGCGGGCUGGAACCUCUCGGGGUUACAGCCUUGCUGAAUUAUUCACCCUUGUCUUUUGCGUACUUCUUGUUUCCUUGGUGGGUUCGCCCACCACUAGGACAAACAUAAACCUUUUGUAAUUGCAAUCAGCGUCAGUAACAAAUUAAUAAUUACAACUUUCAACAACGAAUCUCUUGGUUCUGGCAUCGAUGAAGAACGCAGCGAAAUGCGAUAAGUAGUGUGAAUUGCAGAAUUCAGUGAAUCAUCGAAUCUUUGAACGCACAUUGCGCCCUUUGGUAUUCCAAAGGGCAUGCCUGUUCGAGCGUCAUUUGUACCCUCAAGCUUUGCUUGGUGUUGGGCGUCUUGUCUCUAGCUUUGCUGGAGACUCGCCUUAAAGUAAUUGGCAGCCGGCCUACUGGUUUCGGAGCGCAGCACAAGUCGCACUCUCUAUCAGCAAAGGUCUAGCAUCCAUUAAGCCUUUUUUCAACUUUUGACCUCGGAUCAGGUAGGAGAUACCC